rnacentral:rRNA from 1 species
GACGAAGGGGGCAAGCGUUGUUCGGAAUUACUGGGCGUAAAGCGCGUGUAGGUGGUUAUCCAAGUCAGGCGUGAAAGCCUUGAGCUCAACUCAAGAAAUGCGCUUGAUACUGGGUGGCUAGAGGACCGGAGAGGAUAGUGGAAUUCCCAGUGUAGUGGUGAAAUACGUAGAGAUUGGGAAGAACACCAGUGGCGAAGGCGGCUAUCUGGACGGUUUCUGACACUAAGACGCGAAAGCGACAUGGGAGGCAAACAGG